rnacentral:rRNA from 1 species
UCCCCUAGUAACUGCGAGUGAAGCGGGAAAAGCUCAAAUUUAAAAUCUGGCAGUCUUUGAUUGUCCGAGUUGUAAUCUAGAGAAGUGUUAUCCGCGCUGGACCGUGUAAAAGUCUCCUGGAAUGGAGCAUCAUAGAGGGUGAGAAUCCCGUCUUUGACAUGGACUACCAGUGCUUUGUGAUGCGCUCUCAAAGAGUCGAGUUGUUUGGGAAUGCAGCUCAAAAUGGGUGGUAAAUUCCAUCUAAAGCUAAAUAUUGGCGAGAGACCGAUAGCGAACAAGUACCGUGAGGGAAAGAUGAAAAGAACUUUGGAAAGAGAGUUAAACAGUACGUGAAAUUGCUGAAAGGGAAACGCUUGAAGUCAGUCGCGUUGGCCAGGAAUCAACCUUGCUUUUGCUGGGCGUACUUUCUGGUUGACGGGUCAGCAUCAAUUUUGACUGCUGGAGAAAGUUCAAGGGAAUGUGGCAUCUUCGGGUGUGUUAUAGCCCUUGUUCGCAUACAGCAGUUGGGAUUGAGGAACUCAGCACGCCGCAAGGCCGGGUUUCGACCACGUUCGUGCUUAGGAUGCUGGCAUAAUGGCUUUAAUCGACCCGUCUUGAAACACGGACCAAGGAGUCUAACAUGCCUGCGAGUGUUUGGGUGGAAAACUCAAGCGCGCAAUGAAAGUAAAAGUUGAGAUCCCUGUCGUGGGGAGCAUCGACGCCCGGACCAGACCUUUUGUGACGGAUCUGCGGUAGAGCAUGUAUGUUGGGACCCGAAAGAUGGUGAACUAUGCCUGAAUAGGGUGAAGCCAGAGGAAACUCUGGUGGAGGCUCGUAGCGAUUCUGACGUGCAAAUCGAUCGUCAAAUUUGGGUAUAGGGGCGAAAGACUAAUCGAA